UACGUAGGGCGCAAGCGUUGUCCGGAAUUAUUGGGCGUAAAGAGCUCGUAGGCGGUUUGUCGCGUCGGAUGUGAAAGCCCGGGGCUUAACUCCGGGUCUGCAUUCGAUACGGGCAGGCUAGAGUUCGGUAGGGGAGAUCGGAAUUCCUGGUGUAGCGGUGAAAUGCGCAGAUAUCAGGAGGAACACCGGUGGCGAAGGCGGAUCUCUGGGCCGAUACUGACGCUGAGGAGCGAAAGCGUGGGGAGCGAACAGG
rnacentral:rRNA from 1 species